rnacentral:rRNA from 1 species
GACGAACGCUGGCGGCGUGCCUAACACAUGCAAGUCGAACGAAGAGCGAUGGAAGUUUGCUUCUAUCAAUCUUCGUGGCGAACGGGUGAGUAACGCGUAAUCAACCUGUCCAUCAGUGGGGGACAACAGUUGGAAACGACCGCUAAUACCGCAUACUAUCUAACCUCGGCAUUCAGGAUGGAAGGAAGGUGGUCCCUAUUCAUAAGCUAUCAUCGAAGGAGGGGAUUGUGUUUGGUUAGGUAGGUGGUUGGGAAACGGCCCAUCCAUGGCAAGGAUGGUAGCCCGACCGGGAGGAGGGACCGCCACAAUGGGACUGGGACACGGCCCAGGCGCCUACGGGGGGGAGCAAGGGGGGAACCUCCGGAAUUGGGGGAAAUCUGACGGGAGCACGCCGGGUGGGUGGUGACGGCCUUCGGGUUGUAAAGCUCUGUUUAUCGGGACGAAAGGCCUUCUUGCGAAAAGUUAGAAGGAUUGACGGUACCGGAAUAGAAAGCCACGGCUAACUACGUG